rnacentral:rRNA from 1 species
CGGGGGAAAGUUGCAAAGUACUUUGAAGAGAGAGUUCAAGAGGACGUGAAACCGAUAGGAUGGAAGCAGAUGAAGUUGACGAACGUGUGUUGUAUUCAGAAUUGCACUUUUUGGUGCGGUUUGUUUUUACAGCCGAUGUGGGCCGGCGGCUUUGGUCAAUGCAAUGUGUCUAGCGUCGAUGGUGACCCUGCGGAGGGAUAAUCGGUCGGCGUACGGUGCUUGGUAUGGCUAAGGUUUCGCCGGUCUUAAAGUCAGCGCCUCAUCUGACCCGUCUUGAAACACGGACCAAGGAGUGUAGCGUUUACGCAAGUCUUAGAGUGUUUGGAAACUUUGAGGCGUAACGAAAGUAAAUUCAGUUUAAUCUGUUGACUUGGGAUGCGUUGUCUCUUGUGGACGGCGUCGGACCAUGGUUUUAUCGCGAUCGCUUGCGAUGCGGUGAAAAUAGAGCGUAAACGGUGCGACCCGAAAGAUGGUGAACUAUGCCUGAGCAGGAUGAAGCCGGAGGAAACUCUGGUGGAAGUCCGAAGCGGUUCUGACGUGCAAAUCGAUCGUCUGACUUGGGUAUAGGGUAUAGGGGCGAAAGACUAAUCGAACCAUCUAGUAGCUGUUUCCUU